AGGCCUACACAUGCAAGUCGAGCGCGCCUUUCGGGGUGAGCGGCGGACGGGUUAGUAACGCGUGGGAACGUACCCUUUUCUGCGGAAUAGCCUCUGGAAACGGAGAGUAAUACCGCAUACGCCCUUUGGGGGAAAGAUUUAUCGGAGAAGGAUCGGCCCGCGUUAGAUUAGAUAGUUGGUGGGGUAACGGCUUACCAAGUCUACGAUCUAUAGCUGGUUUUAGAGGAUGAUCAGCAACACUGGGACUGAGACACGGCCCAGACUCCUACGGGAGGCAGCAGUGGGGAAUCUUGGACAAUGGGCGCAAGCCUGAUCCAGCCAUGCCGCGUGAGUGAAGAAGGCCUUAGGGUCGUAAAGCUCUUUCGCCUGUGAUGAUAAUGACAGUAGCAGGUAAAGAAACCCCGGCUAACUCCGUGCCAGCAGCCGCGGUAAUACGGAGGGGGUUAAGCGUUGUUCGGAAUUACUGGGCGUAAAAGCGCGCGUAGGCGGAUUGGAAAGUUGGGGGUGAAAUCCCGAGGCUCAACCUCGGAACUGCU
rnacentral:rRNA from 1 species